AUAUGCUGGAUAAGUGUGAGGCGUUGGAUAGAUUUCACUCAAUCUGAGCCCCACAUUCAUCAGGGAUUCAU
rnacentral:pre_miRNA from 1 species